rnacentral:tRNA from 1 species
AUUUAAAUAAUUUAAAAAUAAAAAUAUUGAUUUGUGGUAUCAAAAAUGUGAAUAAAUUUCAUUUUAAAUU